rnacentral:misc_RNA from 1 species
GGAAGUAAAAGUCUAACAAGGUUCCCGUAGGUGAACCUGCGGAAGGAUCAUUACUGAGAACUUGCCCUUUGGGGUAGAUCUCCCACCCUCUGUCUACAUACUUUGUUGCUUUGGCAGGCCUGCCUCUGUGCUACUGGCCUUGGCUAGUUAGUGCCUGCCAGAGAAUCAAAACCCAGAGUCAUUUAUUGUCUGAGUAAUAUUUAAUAAUUAAAACUUUCAACAACGGAUCUCUUGGUUCUG